rnacentral:lncRNA from 1 species
GGUUUUGGGCAAGGAAAACAAUUGAAAGCUGUUCCUUUUUGUCACACAAAGUAGGCACCUUCACAAGGGUCGGCGGGUGGAUAGACAAGGAUAAGGAGUUUGAUUCAAAUUCAAAGUCCUACUCGAACUCGAACCCAAACUACCAAUACCUAUCCAAAGUGGGUGACAAGUGUUAGCUUCUGAUUUUCUUAUGCACAAACUAAUUUUAUGUGAUGAGAUAUGG